AUACGUAGGGGGCGAGCGUUGUCCGGAAUGAUUGGGCGUAAAGGGCGCGUAGGCGGCCCGGUAAGUCUGGAGCGAAAGUCCUGUUUUUAAGAUGGGAAUUGCUUUGGAUACUGUCGGGCUUGAGCGCAGGAGAGGGAAGUGGAAUUCCCAGUGUAGCGGUGAAAUGCGUAGAGAUUCGGAGGAACACCAGUGGUGAAGGCGACUUACUGGGCUACCACUGAAAGUGAAGUGUGAAAGCGGGGAGAGCAGACACGAUUAUACACGCGUGGAGUUCAGGCUGUAAACGAGGAAUGCUAGGCGUAUUGGAUAUGUCGCCCAGGCGUGCCGCAGGCAACACAAUAAGCAAUCCACCUGGGGAGUACGGCCGCAAGGUGGAAGCUCAAAUGAAGUGACGGGU
rnacentral:rRNA from 1 species